rnacentral:snRNA from 1 species
GUUGAAUUUAUUAGUACAUGUACCAAAUUGGAACGAUACAGAGAAGAUUAUCGUGGCCUCUACGCAAAAGGACAACACUCAAAAUCGUGAAGCGUUCCAUAUUUUU